UGGGAUAGCUCAGUUGGUAGAUAGCGAGACUCUUAAUCUCAGGUUUAUGGGUUCAAGCCCUACAUUGGGCAAAA